AUUGAACGCUGGCGGCAUGCCUUACACAUGCAAGUCGAACGGCAGCACGGGAGCAAUCCUGGUGGCGAGUGGCGAACGGGUGAGUAAUAUAUCGGAACGUGCCCAGUCGUGGGGAUAACGUAGCGAAAGCUACGCUAAUACCGCAUACGAUCUACGGAUGAAAGCGGGGGGAUCGCAAGACCUCGCGCGAUUGGAGCGGCCGAUAUCAGAUUAGGUAGUUGGUGAGGUAAAGGCUCACCAAGCCGACGAUCUGUAGCUGGUCUGAGAGGACGACCAGCCACACUGGGACUGAGACACGGCCCAGACUCCUACGGGAGGCAGCAGUGGGGAAUUUUGGACAAUGGGCGAAAG
rnacentral:rRNA from 1 species